AUUUUAUUCUAAUACAUAGGCAUAUAUAGCAUAUAAAAAUAUAUAUUUUAACCACACGAAUGGCAGCAAACUGCACAUGCAGUCAUGCCUCUUGCUUUUUUUCCUCAUAUCUUUGACAUAGCACCACAGCAGUACACAUAGUAUUCUCUCAUUAUUUUUAAAGGCUGACUAGUAUUCUGUUGAAUAUAUACACCAUAAUUCACCUAACUACUUCCCUACUGAUAUGUUUAGCAUGUUUCCAAUCUUUUGCAGUAACAAAUAAUGCUGCCACAAAUAUUCUUAGAUAUUUAUUUGACAUAUAUGCAAAAUCUUCUAGAGAAUAAAAUCCUAUAAUGGAAUUACUAGAACGAAAUAAAUCUGUGUUUUAAUUUUUGAAAACCAUUUUCAAACUGCUUUCUAUAGAGUAUGAAUACUUUAUAAUCCCACCAGCAAUGUAUAAGGCUGACCAUUUUCUCUUCUCACCUUUCCCGAGUUAUACUAUACAUAACCUUUGCUCAUUUGAUAGGUGACAAAGAGUAUGUUGUAGCUUGAAUUUACAUCUUUAUUAUAUUAUAAAUAAAGUUGUACAUUUUUUCAUAUGAAUUCUCUUUGCUAAUUUUUCUACUGGAUUAUUUUCUAGUUCUUUGUAUUAAGAGGAACUUAGCCCUUUGUGAAGUAUACAAAUAAGUUUUACUAGUCUGUUUCUCUUUUAACUUUGUUUGAUUUUUUCCCCUGUACAGAAUUUUAUUUUUAUGUCCUAAAAUCCAGCAACCCAGUAUGCUAUUAAAGGACUUCACCAAUCCUGGAUUACGUAAAAAAUAAUUACCCUACCUUUUUUGUUUCUUUGUUUCAUAUUUAAAUCUUUAACUCCUCUGGAAGCCAACAUUAUUUUUCCAGAUGACUAACUGGCUAUCCCAACACUGUUUAUUAAACAAUUCUUCUUUUCCCUACUCAUAAAUGAAGGUGGGAUCCAUUUUCAUAUACAAGUUGAAUACCCCUUAUCUGAAAUGCUUGGGACCAGAAGUGUUUCAGAUUUUAGAAUAUUUGCACAUACAUGAGAUAUCCUGAGGAUGGGACCAAACCUGAAUGUAAUUUUAUAUAAUUUUAAAUAAUGUUACACAUGAAACAAAGUUGUUUUGAUUGUUUUUGAGACAGGGACUUGCUCUGUCACCCAGGCUGGAAUGCAGUCAUACAAUCAUGGCUCACUGCAGCCUUCACCUCCUGGGCUCAAGCGAUCCUCCUGCCUCAGCCUCCCAAGUAGCUGGAACCACAAACGUGUACCACCCUGCCUGGCUAACUUUUGUAUUUUUUUGUAGAGAUAGCGUCUUUCCAUGUUGCCCAGGCUGGUCUUGAACUCCUGGGCUGAAGCAAUCCUCCCACCUUAGCCUCCCAAAGUGUUGGGAUUACAGACAUGAGCCACUGCAUCCAGCCUGAAACGAAGUUUUGACUGCGACCCAUCAUGAGGUCAGGUGUGGAAUUUUCUACUUGUGGCAUCAUGUUGGUGUUCAAAACAUUUCAGAUUUUGAAGGAUUUCAGAUUAUGGAGUUUUAGAUAAGGGAUGCUCAACCUAUAUUAAGCUCUCAUAUAUAUUUAAGUUAAUUCUAGUCUUUACUCUGUUUUAGUGCUGUCAUGUGCCAAAACCAUGUUACUUUUCAAAACAUUUUAAAAUUAAAACCACUUUACAUACAAGUAAGAAUAAUACAACCAGAAAUUACUGGCUUGCUUUAAUUUAUGAAUCAUUUUGCAAUUUCUAAAUGGAAUUUAUAUAAUUAAGUUCAAUAUGAUCAUCAUGCAAUCAUGCAUUUUGGUUGACACAUAUUUUGGAGACCAUUACGAAUCUCAUGUCUCCCACUACAUUUCUGGAACCAUAUCUAGAAAAUCAAUUUUUCCUUAAUUUUGUACAUGGUUUUUUUAAAUUAUAAAAUCAGCACAUGUUAUCUGUAAAAAAUCUGAAAAUAUAAAACAUACCUUCCAGAGAUAACCAACUUUUAUACUUCGGUGUAUUUUUUUCCACACUUUUAAUAAGUGACUAUUUUGUAAACUAAUUUUUUCACAUAAUAUGACAGCACUUUCCCAUGUUAUUACACAUACUUCUACAACAUGUUUUAAACACAUCCUCCCAAAUGAAUAUACCCAGUUUAUGCAACCAUUUGCCAAUUGUUGAACACUUAGAGUUGUUCUCUGUGAUGAUUAUCAUCUAUUUAUUAAUCCUUGCCACAAAUGAGUUCCAAGAAUUAAUAGACGAGUUUCAAGCACUGUGGUAAGCAUUAACUCUAUAAUGGUGAGGAAAAAGAAACACAUUAUCAGGAUUUCUGGAGGUUACAAUCUAUUUGGAAAAACAGAUGUUAAUCUCCAACACAUAUGAAAUUACAAUGACAGCAAGUGCUAUGAGGAGAGUUCAUGGUGCUCUGAGAGUCUGUGAUAGGGAAGCCUUCCCUGAGGAAAGAUAAAUCGAAGUUUAGGUGAAAGAAAAGUAAAAACAUUCUCAGCAGGGGCAACGGCAGGUACAAAGCCCUCACUGUGGGAAGGAGCAUGGCAAGAACAAGGGACUGAGAUAAGGCCAACAAGGCUGGAACAAAAAGAGUAAGUCAAGAACAUGGCUCAAGUCAUGACUAGACAGAAAGGUAAGGGCCAGACUAUGCAAGACCUUGUAAGACAGGCAGAUGCCACCAUAUAAGACACAGAGUUCUGUCCAUAUCCUGAAUGCAAUGGAAAGCUACUGAAGCAUAUCAAACAGUAGGGUGAUGUAAUCAGGUUUGCAUUUUUAAAAGAUCCCUCUGAUUACAGUGUAGGAAACAGAUCAGAAGGGGACAAAGUAGAUUGGGAUAAACCAAGAUUAGGAGGCUACUGUAGUAAACCUGACCAAAAAUGCUAGUAGUUUAGGGUGGUGAUGGAUUAUGAAAAGAAGUAGACGGAUUCAAAAGACAACCAGAUUUGCCAAAAGAUUUAUGCUCAUAGAUUAAAAUCCCUAAAACUAGAAUUACUGGGUCAAAAAAGAACACUUCAAGGAUUCUAAUAUACAUUGCCAAACUGCCCUGCAAAGAGCAGUUGUCUUCAUCUGUCAAUUACCUUGUAGCUGUUCCUCUAUCUGAAAUUUUAAGUUCCUUAAAAAUUCCUUUAACAUGACUAAUCCAUAUUUCCUUCACGAAGUCUUCCCUGACUCCCCUUUUUGCCUGGAUAUAGAACAUGUCUCCCAAUGAAUCCUUGCUUUGUCUUAUACACAUUUCUAUAGUCCAGUCAUACUGCAUUUGACUUACGUUUACAUGCCCAUCAUCUCUACUACAUUGUGAGCUUCUGGAGAGUAAAGCUGUUCUUAAGGCACUUAAAGCUAAAACAACUUGCUACUCAGGGCUUCAAAUACCUACUUUAAAAAAAGUGACCAAUUUGUUUGUGAUGAGUCAUUACAUCUCCAUAGCGUUCCUGAAAAUCUCUCCAAUAAUUGUAAUCAAAUAGGUGUUAUAUGAUCUUAAAAUAUUUUUAAAUAGCUUAGUAAAAAACAGACUAUGAACAAAGCAGAUUCUAUUAGAGAAACUUUUGAACCUGAGUUGUUGAUACACGCUAAUUUUCAAAAUUAUUCUUAUUGCAAAUUUAACUCCAAUUUACCAAAAAAAAAAAAAAAGGUUAUUCUGGUAGUUUCUUAUAUUUAAUUUUAUAAAAUAUAAACAAUGAGAAUAUAUUUAUAAUUGGAUAAGCAUCUACAUAAACUUAUAUAGCAUUUCAGAAUUAUCAAUUCCUUAUGUUGAAAAGCUUGAUUUCAUGGCUAACAGUAUCUAGAACAAUCUACCAAAAUAUUCACUAAGCUAGAGGAAGUGGCAGAGUUCCUUAGAGUAAUCUUAAAGACAAGCAGCUCCCUCUAUAGUCUGUCUGGCCUACUUUGUUUAAUUCCUUGCUUUGUGGACAUCCCACACUCUUCUAUUUACUCCUACUCUGCAUCUCAGCAGGGAAGCUCUUUGAAAGGAUAGUUCUGUUUAACCUGGUGCUGAGGAAACUGUGAGAGCUGUCUAAACUCAGCAUGAAGUGAGUUACAUCAAGCAACUAAGCAAAAGUCGAGAUGUGGAAAAUGGACAGCUUCCCAAGUCCACCUCAGUCAAAUCCUUAAAUGAAGCCUGAUGAUUUCAUUUGUAGUGAAUCCUCUGAGUGGUCACACCUAUAUUCAAAUCUAAAUGAAAAAACAUUGUCCUAUACUUUAUUCACAACCUUUCUUCCCUCCAUUAAAACAAGUUACCAAAAUGUUGUUCUAAAAGAAAAAAUUAACAAUUUAUUCUACAAAUGAUACUGCUCAAUUUGAUUAUGUCAAAAUAAUGUUCAAGACAUUUUAAAAACUAGUUAAAAAAAUGGAGAGGAAAUUUGUUUUUGUUUUUUAAAAAAUUCCAUAACUCAGAUGAAGAAACUUUAAGUGAUUCCCUUAGGAAUCAAUAUCCUCAGUUGGCAAGGGAUUAAAUCAGUCAGGAUUUACCAUUCAAAUCUGAAUAUCCCCCCCCGCCUUUUUUUUUUUUUUUUUU
rnacentral:lncRNA from 1 species